AUUUCUAGAUGAUGGAAGAGCAGUGAAUGAUCGUUGAAGUGCCGAAUGUUCAGAAUCAACAGAGACUAAAGCAGCAUCAGUAUCUCCAGAUGAAAAGU
rnacentral:snoRNA from 13 species